AUGAUGGAAAUACUUUUUUGUUUACGUGAGGUUGUUUGUGCUUUUUGUUUGCUGAUUAUAUGAUAUAUGCUGAUGUUUGCAUAAUUAUUUGCAUGUUCUUAAUUUAUAAUUUUUCCUUUAGUUUUGCUUUUCUUUGAUGAAAAUACUUUUUUUUGUCUGGUGAGCCUAUUAGUCCUUUUCUUGUUUUCUGGUUAUAUGCUGACGUUUGUAGAUUUAUUUUCAUGUUCUUAAUUUAUGAUUUUUCCUUGAGUUUUGUUCACCUGUAAUGGUGGUGCCUUGCUCUUGAAUGUGAGGUAACAAGCAUGCUUCUUUGUUGGUGGCUAAGUGUUACUUGGUUUGAGUUUGAAGUUUUUGCUAGCAGUAGAAUGUCACCUGUUGCAAUGCAAUUUUUUAUUUGCAAACUCUGUUUGAUGUGUGUUCUUUGUCAUUUUCUGUGUUGCU
rnacentral:misc_RNA from 1 species